rnacentral:piRNA from 2 species
AGAACAAGAAAGUAUGAGGACGAA